rnacentral:rRNA from 1 species
CCUACGGGAGGCAGCAGUGAGGAAUAUUGGUCAAUGGGCGCGAGCCUGAACCAGCCAAGUCGCGUGAAGGAUGACUGCACUACGGGUUGUAAACUUCUUUUAUAAAGGAAUAAAGUGAGGCACGUGUGCCUUUUUGUAUGUACUUUAUGAAUAAGGAUCGGCUAACUCCGUGCCAGCAGCCGCGGUAAUACGGAGGAUCCGAGCGUUAUCCGGAUUUAUUGGGUUUAAAGGGAGCGUAGGUGGGGUGUUAAGUCAGUUGUGAAAGUUUGGGGCUCAACCGUAAAAUUGCAUUUGAUACUGGCAGUCUUGAGUACAGGAGAGGUAGGCGGAAUUCGUGGUGUAGCGGUGAAAUGCUUAGAUAUCACGAAGAACUCCGAUUGCGAAGGCAGCUUACUAACCUGCCACUGACAUUGAGGCUCGAAAGUGUGGGUAUCGAACAGGAUUAGAUACCCGGGUAGUC